AUUGAACGCUGGCGGCAGGCCUAACACAUGCAAGUCGAGCGGAUGAAGGGGGCUUGCUCCUGGAUUCAGCGGCGGACGGGUGAGUAAUGCCUAGGAAUCUGCCUGGUAGUGGGGGAUAACGUCCGGAAACGGGCGCUAAUACCGCAUACGUCCUGAGGGAGCAAGUGGGGGAUCUUCGGACCUCACGCUAUCAGAUGAGCCUAGGUCGGAUUAGCUAGUUGGUGGGGUAAAGGCCUACCAAGGCGACGAUCCGUAACUGGUCUGAGAGGAUGAUCAGUCACACUGGAACUGAGACACGGUCCAGACUCCUACGGGAGGCAGCAGUGGGGAAUAUUGGACAAUGGGCGAAAGCCUGAUCCAGCCAUGCCGCGUGUGUGAAGAAGGUCUUCGGAUUGUAAAGCACUUUAAGUUGGGAGGAAGGGCAGUAAGUUAAUACCUUGCUGUUUUGACGUUACCAACAGAAUAAGCACCGGCUAACUUCGUG
rnacentral:rRNA from 1 species